rnacentral:lncRNA from 1 species
GAGAAAAAAAUGAUAGCCCAUGGUCCCUCUAAUAAGCAAUAUGCCAGCAAGAGUUGACAAAUAUUUUAAUUCCCAAAGUCUUUGAUCUAAGAGUAUGACAUUCCCCUCCUCGGAUCCCGUUUUGAUCAGGCAAUAAAUGCAAAGUAAGUAUGCUUGAGAAUUUUUGCAAAUUAAAACAGCCUCAGUGAGAUAUAUAAAAGAUAAUGAGUGAUCUGAGAGAACCUAUGAGGAUAAAAAGGUACGCUAACUUUCUUUCAAAAAUAUACAAAAACUCCAAGUGACAGGAUUGAGAAGAAAGGAUCUUUACUCUUAACCAUAUACUUCCCUGACUAU